rnacentral:lncRNA from 1 species
GCCAUGAAGACUUUGUGUUUAUUAUUUAGAGUUUAUAUUUAAGAUGGGAUAGUUUGUAUUUAUUUCUACUAGAAUUAGUGUUUGUUCUAACUUUAGUGUUUAUCCUCUUCAAUUAGUGUUUAUCUUGGAUCGAGUUUGUGUUUAUCCUAGAUCGAGUUUGUGUUUAUCCUGAAUAAUUUUUAUUUAUCAUCUUAGAGUUUGUAUUUAUUAUUCAUACUUUUUAUAUGAG